rnacentral:rRNA from 1 species
CCCUUAGAUGUUCUGGGCUGCACGCGUGUUACAAUCGGGAGUACAACAAGAUUGCAAAUCCUAGUGGAUGAGUGGCUCUUCGAAAUUUUCUGAAGACUGGGAUAGUUGAUUGAAAUUAUUCAACUCGAACGAGGAAUUCCUUGUAAUUGUAAUUCAUUAUAUUGUAAUGAAUACGUCCCUGCCCUUUGUACACACCGCCCGUCGCUCCUACCGAUUGAACGAUCCGGUGAAUUAUUUGGAGUAGCUCUGGAAGUUGCAGAACUUCCUAUGUCACGAAAUUUUGUAAACCUUAUCGUUUAGAGGAAGGAAAAGUCGUAACA